AUUGAACGCUGGCGGCAGGCCUAACACAUGCAAGUAGAGCGGAUGAGGGAAGCUUGCUUCCCGAUUUAGCGGCGGACGGGUGAGUAAUGCCUAGGAAUCUGCCUAUUAGUGGGGGAUAACGUUCCGAAAGGAACGCUAAUACCGCAUACGUACUACGGGAGAAAGUGGGGGAUCUUCGGACCUCACGCUAAUAGAUGCGCCUAGGUCGGAUUAGCUAGUUGGUGAGGUAACGGCUCACCAAGGCGACGAUCCGUAGCUGGUCUGAGAGGAUGAUCAGCCACACUGGAACUGAGACACGGUCCAGACUCCUACGGGAGGCAGCAGUGGGGAAUAUUGGACAAUGGGCGAAAGCCUGAUCAAGCCAUGCCGCGUGUGUGAAGAAGGUCUUCGGAUUGUAAAGCACUUUAAGUUGGGAGGAAGAGUUGUAAGCUAAUAUCUUGCAGCUUUGACGUUACCAACAGAAUAAGCACCGGCUAACUCUGUGCCAGCAGCCGCAGUAACAC
rnacentral:rRNA from 1 species